AGCCGUACUUUGGAAAUUUAUAUUCAUUAAAUAAAAGUUAAAAAAAAGAAAAAAAAAACAAACCAAUGGAGAGGAAAUUAAGUAACAAACUAUAUAGAUUCAAAAUGAGGGAGAAGAGGAAACUACUAAAACAGGAAACAAAGUAAGAUGCUAAAUUCAGGUAAAACAUAUCACAAAAUUUUAAAUGUAAAUUAACUAAGUGAUCCAGCUAGAAAUCAAAAUUUUCUUAUUUAAUGGAAAACCAGUUAAUUAUUUGCUAUUUAGGAUACAAUCCUUAAAUGUUUAAGAGUAAAAAUGUUGAAAAUAUACCUACACAUUUUGAAUAGAAGACUCUCUUGAGAUCUGACAAGACAGACUUUCAUGCAGGAACUAUUACUAGAUAUAUUCAGAGAGAUUUCAUAAUGAUAUAGUUAUCAAUUCAGUGGGAAGAUAUAGAAUUCUAAAUUCUUAUGUAGGUUAAUAUGGGAAGAGUUUUAGCACUUGUCUUUUUUUUUCUUAAAAUUUUAAGCUUUUUAUUUAGUGAGAGAAAGAACUUACCUUCAGAAACAGUAAAGAUUCAGGUGAAAACAACAAAGAAAAUUAAGAACAUGCUCAUAAUUCAUAUUCAUAUGAAUUGAACAUGAGUUUUGCUGCACAUAGAAUCUUUCAUAAAAUAAACUUUAUUAGGGUGAGCGUAGUGGCACAGUAGGUUAAGUCAACACUUACAGUGCCCAUGUCCCGUAUCAAAUGCUUAGUUUGAGUCCCUGCUACUCUUCUUUUCCAGCUUUUAUGAAUGUGCCCAGGAGACACAGAAAAUGGUCCAAGUCUUUGAGUUCCUGCCACCCUUGUGGAGUGAGUUCCUGGUUCCUGACUUUGGCCUAGCCUAGUCCCAGCUGUUGCGGGUAUUUGGAGUGUGAACCAGCAGUUGGAAAAUCUCUCUCUCCCUUUUUCUCUCAAUGUUGCUUUUGAUCUGCAAUACAAAGAAAUAAAUUCAAUUUUAAAAAGAUACACUUGAUCAGCAGCCACUUCCCCUCCCAGGUGUAGGUUAGGCUUGACUAACUUGUGUUGACUAAUGAGAGCCAUGUGAGGCAGAAGUUGAAAGGGAUAGGUUUUGUGUUACCAUGUUCCCUUUUCCUUGUGCUGUCAUGGGACAGGAUUCUACUAUGCUUGCUUGGCACGCCUGGGUAACAAAGAUAGUAUGACUUCUGUGAGGAGAGUCCCCUGCCACAAAUGAUGGACCUGUACAAUUCUCAAGAAGGAAAUUACAAGUCUGAAGUCAACAGCAAACCCAGGAAGGAAAGGACAGCAUUUACCAAGAGCAAAUCCAAGGACUAGAAGCAGAAUUUGCCCAUCACAACUAUGUGACUAGACUGAGGAGAUACAAGAUAGCAGAGAAUCUGGAUCUCACCAAAAGACAGAUAAGCUUGGAGAAGUCUCCUGCCAGAUAUCUGGUAUCUGACAUGGGGAAGAAAGAGAAAACAGCUGCAUGGGAAUUUAACAGGGAGUGGUAAAAAGGACAUUUUUACAGAGUGAAGGCUGCUAAAUGUAGGAGUGGGAGAUCCUGCCACUUGACAAAAUCUUUUCCACAGUGCUAAUCAAAGGUGCAAUAUUGUGAAUUUGAAAGCAGCUAAGAUGGGCAGAAUAAACAUCCUGAGAUCUCAAUACCUCUGCCAAGAUAAAUGGAAAAUCCCCACCUUGUUGGAUUAUACUGCAUUGGCGGUAAUGAGAAGGAUUAUGUUUUGUUUGCUACUCAUAAAUCAUUCAGUGGCUCAAUACCAAGUAUUUUCAAAAUAGCCAUCCAUUUUUUUUGGAUGAGUAUAAAAAAGGAAAUAAUUUUGUACACCACAUAAACAGUGGGUUUGUCUUUUGCACAUUUUUAGCAGAAUUUUUCCCAUUCUAGAUUUAUUUAUGUAAAUUACUAUGAAAACAGUUAAUUCAAUUUUGUUUCUGUGAGCCACCAUAUUGUCUGUUCAGCUGUUCUGAGAUGGACUUUCUUACCCAUGAUUUUAUAAUAGUGCUUCUUUCUUUGGAUCAGUAUUUAACACUUAACUUGAGUAAAAGUCAGUUGCUUCUUUUGUGUAGGUUCCACAUACACAAAAAGUUUAUGGUUUAAGAAAUAGUAACAUUAAAGACAGAU